rnacentral:rRNA from 1 species
GCAUGUCGGAGAAUCUAAAGGCGGGGACCGCAAGGCCUGCCGCUUGAAGCCGAGCCCGUGCACUAUCAGCUUGUUGGCGGGGUAAUGGCCCACCAAGGCGUUGACGGUUAGCUGGUCUGAGAGGAUGGUCAGCCACACUGGGACUGAGAUACUGCCCAGACUCCUACGGGAGGCUGCAGUCGAGAAUCAUUCGCAAUGGGCGAAAGCCUGACGGUGCGACGUCGCGUGGAGGAUGAAGGUCUUCGGAUUGUAAACUCCUGUCAUGUGGGAUAAAUGGCCCGGGCACGAAUAAUGCCUGGGAAUGAUCGUACCACAGGAGGAAGAGACGGCUAACUCUGUGCCAGCAGCCGCGGUAAUACAGAGGUCUCGAGCGUUGUUCGGAUUUACUGGGCGUAAAGGGAGCGUAGGCGGUUCAGUAUGUCGAAUGUGAAAUCCCACGACUCAACCGUGGAAUGGCAUUCGAAACUGCUGGGCUAGAGUACUGGAGAGGAGAGCGGAAUUCUUGGUGUAGCGGUGAAAUGCGUAGAUAUCAAGAGGAACACCGGUGGCGAAGGCGGCUCUCUGGACAGAUACUGACGCUGAGGCUCUAAAGUUAGGGGAGCAAACAGGAUUAGAUACCCUGGUAGUCCUAACUGUAAACGGUGUACACUUGGUGUGCGAGGAAUUGUCCCUUUGCGCGCCGCAGCUAACGCGUUAAGUGUACCGCCUGGGGAGUACGGUCGCAAGAUUAAAACUCAAAGGAAUUGACGGGGACCCGCACAAGCGGUGGAGCAUGUGGCUUAAUUUCGAUGCAACGCGAA